GAUGAACGCUCGCGGGAGGCUUAACACAUGCAAGCCGAGGGAGAAGUUGUUUUCUGACAGCGGACACCGGCGGACGGGUGAGUAACAUGUAUGCAACUUGCCUCUAUCAGUGGGAGAACCCGGUGAAACCCGGACUAAUACCUCAUAACAAAUGGAUCAGCAUUGAUUUAUUUUAAAAGAUUUAUCGGAUAGAGAUAGGCAUGCGUAGGAUUAGUUAGUUGGUUAGGUAACGGCUCACCAAGACGAUGAUCCUUAGGGGGCCUGAGAGGGUGAUCCCCCACACUGGUACUGAGACACGGACCAGACUCAUACGGGAGGCAGCAGUGAGGAAUAUUGGACAAUGGGUGAGAGCCUGAUCCAGCCAUCCCGCGUGCAGGAACACGGCCCUAUGGGUUGUAAACUGCUUUUAUACAGGAAUAAACCUACUCACGUGUGAGUAGUUGAAGGUACUGUAAGAAUAAGCACCGGCUAACUCCGUG
rnacentral:rRNA from 1 species